UACGAAGGGGGCUAGCGUUGCUCGGAAUCACUGGGCGUAAAGGGUGCGUAGGCGGGUCUUUUAAGUCAGGGGUGAAAUCCUGGAGCUCAACUCCAGAACUGCCUUUGAUACUGAGGAUCUUGAGUUCGGGAGAGGUGAGUGGAACUGCGAGUGUAGAGGUGAAAUUCGUAGAUAUUCGCAAGAACACCGGUGGCGAAGGCGGCCAACUGGACCAUCACUGACGCUGAGGCGCGAAAGCGUGGGGAGCAAACAGG
rnacentral:rRNA from 1 species